AUACGGAGGGUGCAAGCGUUAUUCGGAAUCACUGGGCGUAAAGGACGCGUAGGCGGGUUGGCAAGUCAGAUGUGAAAUCCUACAGCUUAACUGUAGAACUGCAUUUGAAACUGCUAACCUAGAGUAUGGGAGUGGGCGAUGGAAUUAGUGGUGUAGGGGUAAAAUCCGUAGAUAUCACUAGGAAUACCGAAAGCGAAGGCGAUCUCCUGGAACAUAACUGACGCUAAGGCGUGAAAGCGUGGGGAGCAAACAGGAUUAGAAACCCUAGUAGUCC
rnacentral:rRNA from 1 species